AAUGCCAUCAAUAUCAAGUAGUGACUGUGGUAAACGCUGUAAGUCAACUUCCCGAGUGGCAACAGAAAGUCGUGUUCCAGAAGUAUCCUUAAGCGAUCUGAAAGUUAAACGGAUUAGUCGCGGGAUUUUUUAUAAUUACCGGGUGACAGUAACACUUACUCCUUCCAUUUAGUGCCAUUUCAAUGAAGUAAACCGAACAGAAAAAGCCCCAACAGUUCUUGGAUAUAGCACCAUAAACAGGACCCCACCAAAAGAACUUCCAGUCAGUCUCGUAUAUUAAGUAGGAAGCAUCAGCGUUGAAACUAACAUUACGGCUGAGUAGGGCUUGCCCAGCGGGCUUAGCGCGAUGAUACACCACUCCAGCCAGCACACCGUAAAAAUAGCCGGCGCUACUCGUGUGAAAAGGUUUGUACAACCGUGCGAACCAUUCGUCAUCGGUGAACAGCAAUAGGACAGGCCUGGAAAGUACGAAUAAAACUGACUAAUUAUGUGUUAUCAUAGGCAGAGGCAUAUAGGCGAGUAAUUGGUCAAUUUGUUAGUCCUAUCUGCAUUGAAUAAUUGUUGGUGACAGCUUUUACCACAUUAGGAAUAAAAUAGGUUGAUAAAACUACAAAUUUAUAAACUGUUCCGUUUCUGAAACCCGCAUGUAUCGAAACCUUUUUUAAUUGCCGUUUUUGAUUGUUUAUAGCGGGGUAUAUAGUGGGUGAGUAUAUAUUGAACACAAAAUAAAUUUUUCAUCGGUUAAAAUACGCUGUUCCUGAAUUACUUUCUCACUAGGUUCGAUUUAGUCUCACAUACCUUACUAUAAUAUGCAGCAAAACUGGUUUUGUAUCUAGUUAUAAACUGCCGCCGCUGUUAAUAGUGUGCAUAUCGCCAAUAUGUCAUGUAACCUUGACAGCUGGAGCCUACUUUCAUGGUACAAUGUCAUGAUCAUCUGAACAGGUGAAUAAGAGGAAGUUUGCACAGCUAGUCUACUUCUUUUUACCUUUCUCUUGUAACGAAAUUGCGUAACCAUGUAUAAUUCCGGUUGAUUGAGUUAUAAAAGGGGAGUGAUAUGGUUGUACACUGUUUAAAGUUGCAAUUUAACUCAAGUUUGUAAUUUACCCAUGCCUUUGUACUUGCUUAAGCAGUACAGUUUAAUAACUACUCUAUGUAUAAUGUUUAUCUUGUUUGACGUUUCGUGUGUUUCCUUUUUUCUCUAUUCCAAACCAACAUUUUGUUUUUAAGAAUUAAGAAAACCUUCACGUAGAACAUUUGCAAAAUAGAAUAAAAUGGUUAAACUAUCGGUUCGAGUUGGAAAAAAUGCCGCUAUGCGAAAACAUUACUAAUCCGGAUGAAAUGUAUUCACGGCUUUCUUGCAGUAUGUGAAAAGCGAAUAAUGGUUUCUGAAUCAAAAGAUGUAUAUAAAAUGAAAAUAUAAGAAAUGUUAUUUAAA